AAGAAAUGGUUUGGAAUGAGAUAGUCCCAUAUGUUCUUUCAAAAUCCCAAGAAGCCUAGACAGAGUGGAGCCUUCUUCUUAGUGCUGAUGAUCUGGUUUCCUAUUUCACUGAGAACACAGCGACAAUCAGAAAAGAAUCUGCAGAAGUAUUCACCACCACACCCACAUGUCUGCUGGCCUCUGUGUCCAUGGAUGCUGCCUUCCCACCUACAACUGUGGAAGAACCACCCUGCUCCUAACACAGUCCAGUCCCUCUCUGGGCACUAUCUCCCAACCUCCUUGGUCUGCUCAAUGAUGGAGAGCAAGCUUUUCUUUCUCUUUCUUUAUAGUCAACAUUUUCCUCUUCACUGGGUCAUUCCCACCAAUAUGCAAAUAUCUCUUAUUUCUCCCAUCUUAACAAAACAUUGUUUGAACUCUAGUAUCACCUCUAGCUACUGCCUAUUUCUCUUUCCUUUCACACAAACUCCCUGAAAUAAAUGUUUGUAGUCUUUCCUAUCUUCAA